UGGCUCAGAACGAACGCUGACGGCGUGGCUAAGACAUGCAAGUCGUACGAAUGCUUUGAUUGAGUAAUCGAGAUAAGCGUUAGUGGCGAAAGGGUGAGUAAUGCAUAGAUAACGUGCCCCGAACACCGGGAUAGCUGCGGUCUUCGGACCUUUGCGAAAGUGCAGGUAAUACCGGAUGAUGUUCAUUUGUCGCAUGGCAGUUGAACCAAAGGUUUCGGCUGGUUUGGGAGCGGUCCAUGUCGUAUCAGCUAGUUGGUGGGGUAACGGCCUACCAAGGCUUCGACGCGUAGCGGUACUGAGAGGUUGAUCCGCCACAUUGGGACUGAGACACUGCCCAGACCCCCACGGGGGGCUGCAGUAACGAAUAUUGCGCAAUGGACGAAAGUCUGACGCAGCGACGCCGUGUGAAGGACGACGCCCUUCGGGGUGUAAACUUCUGUCAGGGUGAAGAAAGGCGAAAGCUUGAUCGAUCCCAGAGGAAGGACCGGCUAACUUCGUGCCAGCAGCCGCGGUAAUACGAAGGGUCCAAGCGUUGUUCGGAAUUACUGGGCUUAAAGCGCGCGUAGGCGGGAUAGUAAGUGUCUUGUGAAAGCCCCCGGCUCAACCGGGGAAUUGCUUGGCAUACUGUUAUCCUUGAGGCAAGUAGGGGUGCAUGGAACUCUAGGUGGAGCGGUGAAAUGCGUAGAUAUCUAGAGGAACGCCAGUAGUGAAAACGGUGCACUGGGCUUGUUCUGACGCUGAGGUGCGAAAGCGUGGGGAGCGAACGGGAUUAGAUACCCCGGUAGUCCACGUUGUAAACGAUGUCUACUAGGUCGUGGCGGUUCUGACGCCGGCGCGGCCGGAGUGAAAAUUUUAAGUAGACCGCCUGGGGAGUACGGUCGCAAGGCUAAAACUCAAAGGAAUUGACGGGGGCUCACACAAGCGGUGGAGCAUGUGGCUUAAUUCGAAGCAACGCGCAGAACCUUAUCCUGGGUUUGACAUAUUAGGAUGCCCUCCCUGAAAGGGGAGUAAGCUGCCUUCGGGUGAAACUAUUACAGGUGCUGCAUGGCUGUCGUCAGCUCGUGUCGUGAGAUGUCGGGUUAAGUCCCUCAACGAGCGAAACCCUUAUCAUUAGUUACCAGCGGGUCAUGCCGGGGACUCUAAUGAGACUGCCGGUGUUAAACCGGAGGAAGGUGGGGAUGACGUCAAGUCCUCAUGGCCUUUAUGCCCAGGGCUGCACACGUGCUACAAUGGCAUGGACAAACCGACGCAAUACCGUGAGGUGGAGCAAAUCGGACAAACCGUGCCUCAGUUCGGAUUGUAGGCUGCAACUCGCCUACAUGAAGUCGGAAUCGCUAGUAAUCGCAGAUCAGCAAUGCUGCGGUGAAUAUGUUCC
rnacentral:rRNA from 1 species